rnacentral:lncRNA from 13 species
ACACGCUGGGUGUCUGUGAGUCACACCGUCUGGUGGUGGAGCUCAUCUUCUUUGAGCAGGACACGGGCGUUCCCAAGCUCAUAGGAAAGACCUUUGUCAAACUGCUGGACAUCGUCAGUGUGAGUGACACGGACAGGAGCGAUGGGGACGAACCCACCGCCCCUUCAUGCUCACCAUGCCAUGUUUAAAUGGGAUAAUAAUAAAAUGAUGAUCAUAAGAGUGAGUGUACAAAGCUGUCCAGGGCUCAACACGUGUGGAUGUCCUCCACUAAAGAACCAAUGGGUUCUUUCUAUUUUAGCUUCCAGUCGAUGGUACAAGUAUUGUCAACCACCUGCUGCUAGAAUGCUGGCUUGCAGGACCAGAUAUCAACUGUCUUGUCCUCUGUCCUGUUCUCUAAUCAGAAAUCACAAAUGAACCACCUGCUGGAGCUGAGGCUCAAGCGCCAGGUACAGAAUAUGAAUCAGACACCAUGGUCCACGUGUGGGACAGUUAUAUCAUGUUCAAUGGGAGUUUUGGACAGUGGAUUCCUGCAUUGACACACGCAAUAAAAGCCGACCUGUUUUCCAGAUCAUCUGUAAGCUGGAGAUGGAGAUGGUGAUUGCGUAUGGAUCCUUGGGUUACGGAUACUCCCACCAGUUGAAGCACCCAAAUAGAAACAUGGAGAGCCUAGUGGAGCGCUCGCUCUUCCUCCGCUGUCCACCACCAGACGACCGCAAAGACCAUCACUAUAAUGUGGUCACUCCUAAGCCAGUACCUUAUUCAGACUUUAUCGCAGCGCUGAUGUACAGAGAGACCACCAACCCAGACAACAGGACGACUUACCCCUCAAACAGCACAAUAUCCCCCAUCAUCCUGGAAUGUAUGGAGAAGAGGGGCAGGCUACUGCAGAUGCAUGAGGAGAUGGAGGCGUUUGAGUCGUCCGAGGACUCCCUGCAGUACCUGGAGAAACUGGUGAUGAAGAAAGGGAUUAGAACCGGUACCCCCUGGAGGAUGAACAAGAGGUUCAAGGUCUGUCUGUCUGUAACUCAACUCUCUCUCUCUCUCUUUCUAUCAACUCAGUUCAUUCAGGAAGUCCUAUACAGAUUUCUCUAUUAAUUUCCUGAAUUGGCCACAAUCGUAGUGUGUGUUCUCUGUAAAUGCUUUAUUUACACUAACCCUGUGUGUAUAUUCAAUUCUAUGUCAAUGACCCUCUUGGUUGGGCUGUAGGGCAGUGUUGUGUCCUGUAAAGCAGUAUAUCUGAGAGGGUUUUGUCUGGUGUGUGUUUGCAGGUUCUCUCUAAGUGGAGGAAAAAGGCAACGAUGGUCUCCAAGCUGCUCAAUUUUGGAGGCUGUUCAGAGGCGGCGAAACAACAGAGAGACAACAUGUUGCCCACGAGGCCAUUGGGUUGGGCAACCUUUCACUCAUGGACACACACUCAUGGACACACACACACACACUCACGGACACAAACACACACAUACAUGGCUAAACUUGGCAAUGGCAAAAAGACAGAUAGGAUGUUGCAGAUGGAUUUCUCUGGUUAAUAUUAAUAUCCAUGGCAGUGCUGAUUUUGAUGUCACUGUUUUUAUGUUGCAGGUGUGACUCCCCCUGUGCCACUUUUAAAGCGCCUUGCCAUGCAACAGGUACUGCUGAUCUGUGUUUAUACACACACACACACACACACACACACACACACACACACACACAGAGAGAGUAUCUUUCAUGUGUAAUUUCUUCUGCUGUUUCCUUAUAGGAGAAAAUACCCUUAGUCA